CUCUGUAUUACCUGGGGUUGAAUGUUGACCUGCUUUGCUAGUUUAGGAAAAUUUUCCUGAAUAAUAUCCUGAAGGGUAUUUUCCAGCUUGGAUUCAUUCUCUCCGUCGCAUUCAGGUACACCUAUCAAACGUAAAUUUGGUCUUUUCACAUAGUCCCACAUUUCUUGGAGACUUUGCUCAUUCCUUUUUAUCCUUUUUCUCUAAUCUUGUCUUCUUGUUUUCUUUCAUUAAGUUGGACUUUGACCUCUGAUAUCCUUUCUUCUGCUUGAACAAUUCGAGUGUUUAAACCUGUGCAUACUUCUCGGAGUUCCUCCAUUGUAUUCUUCAGUUCCAUUAAUUCACUUAUAUUCCUCUCUAAGUUGUCUAUUCCCAAUAGGAUUUCAUCAAAUCUUUUUUCAAAGUUCCUAGUUUCUUCACGUUGGGCUACAACAUGUUCUUUUAACUCACAGAAGUUUCUUAUUAUCCAUUCCCUGAAGAGUGAUUCUGUCAUUGGGAUGCACUUGUUCUCCAUCAAGCCUUGUUCCAUUGUUGAUGUGGAACUGUGAUCAUCUUUAGAGGGAGAGGCGUUCUGAUUUUGAGUAUUCUCAGCCUUUUUGCGCUGGUUUCUUCCCAUCAUUGUAAAUUUAUCCUCCUGUCUUUGAAAUUACCAACUUUCAGAUUAGGUCUCUUGAGUGGAUGUCCAAGUUGUUAGUUCCCAGGGCCAGAACGGCGGCGUUAAGACUGAUGGUGCUUUUCUGCCCAGGAUUCUCCUGUCUGGCUUCCUUCUUGUGUCCGUAAUGGGCGACUCUGCCUUCCCGGGGCUCCAAACCUCGAUCAGAAGGGGAACCGGUCCCGUUUACUCUGUGCGGAGAGCUGCAGCGCUGAGGUGCCGUCACAGCCACUGCGCCAAUCUCAGGAGUCGUGCUGGGGACCCGUGUGGGUCCUCCAAACCUCGGUCAGAAGGGGAGCCGGCCCUCUUUACUCUGCUCCGAGAGCUGCCGUGCAGAGGUGCCGGCGAAACUGCUGCGCAGGCCACAAGAGUUGCACUGGCGACCUGUGUGGUUCCUUCACUGGGGAUCUUCUGCUUCGUGAGCAACCAGAAUUUGGAAGUGUGGCAUCCUCUAGUUCUCCGCGCUUUGACUGAGAGCUGCAGUCCCAAGCUAUGAGAAGACACACUCAAGGGAGCACAUAUAGAUGAGAGAGAGAUUUUAAGGAAUUGGCUCACACCAUUGCGGAGAUCGGCAAGUGCAAACUCUGCAGGGAAAACUGGCAGGCUGGAGACAAGACUUAAUGUCGCAGUUCUGGAGGCAACCUGGAGGCAGAAUCUCCUC
rnacentral:lncRNA from 13 species